UGAUAACAUUGCUCCAGGGGUUCUAUAAAUUGUGGAACACAAGGCAGUUGGAGCAAGAAAGGAAGCACUUGAAGAUGGGUAAUGCUAUAACAUUGACAGUUAUACUAAUUCUUUUCUGUGGAUCAGCGUAUGGAAAGAGAUCAAUGCUAUAUUCAGUGAAAGGUCUGGAUGUUGUGACUGCGUUGGCCCCAUCUGCCAGUGAUGGGAUUUGCAAAACACUGGUGGAGAUACAUGGCUAUCCUUGUGAAGAACAUACGGUAACUACACAAGAUGGAUUUAUUCUUGGCCUACAGAGAAUUCCAGGGGGGGCAGCUGGUGGGACUCCGGGAAACAAGACACCAGUUCUAUUACAACAUGGCAUACUAAUGGAUGGAGCAGUGUGGGUGAUGUUACCUCCAGGUCAAUCUUUGGCAUUCCUCUUGGCAGAUAAUGGAUUUGAUGUGUGGCUUGCCAAUGCAAGAGGAACUGAAUCUAGCAGUGGACACACAUCGCUUCGUCCAAAUGACCCGGCUUUCUGGAAUUGGUCAUGGGAUGAAUUAGCAGGUUUUGAUCUCCCUGCUACAUUUCAAUAUGUGCACAACCAAACAGGACAGCAGCUGCACUAUGUUGCUCAUUCACUGGGAACUUUGACUGCUCUGUCCGCCUUUUCCAAAAAUCAGUUGUUGGAUAUGAUGAGAUCAGCUGCCCUAAUUGGACCUGUUGCCUACAUGGGUCAGAUAACAUCUCCGGUUGCAAAAGUGGCUGCUGAUGUCUUAACUGGCAAUACAUCAUUCUGGCUAGGUGUUGCUGAAUUUGAUCCAAUGGGGUAAAUUUCAACAACCUUAUUCUUUUAUUAUGUUAAAUAUGAUCGAACAGGGUAAAAUUUCAACAUUAUUUUGAAAAUUCAUGUAACGCUUUACAUUUGUCGAAAUGAAUCCUUUUUGCCCCCAAUGAAACAGGGAUGCAGGUAGAACACUGAUCAAUAAUGUCUGCAGUACACCAGGUGUUGACUGUAGUGAUUUGUUGACCGCCUUCACAGGUACUAUACAUGUUCUUAGUUUCUGAACUGGCACUUGCAUUUGUAGAAGUUCAACUCCAGUGUUGAUUACAAUGUGCCACAUCUAUAGGUCCCAACUGCUGCUUGAACAGGUCCAUGCUUGGUGUUUUCUUAAGCCAUGGGCCUCAGUCAACAGCAACAAAGAACCUCAUCCAUCAGUCUCAGAGUAAGUGCAUCUAAAUUCCUAUUACCCAAGCCAAAGUACCACUAGCAAACUAGCUUAAGAAAAAUAGUAUAGUAUCUGAAUGUUACUCUGAUGUGAUGAUAGUUGGAGUUAGGUUAGGCCUCAUCAAUAAGAAUGCUAGAUGCUUCUCUUCACUUGAAAUCUAAAUAUUGAAAACUGCUUCAAAGUAUACUAAUCUGAAUGACUUGUCAUUAAGGUAUGGUUCUUUAAACAUAAUUUUUGGUUUCUGGACAGUGAUCAAAAAAGGAACCAUAACAAUGUAUGACUACAACAAUGAAGAUGAAAACAAGAAACACUAUGGACAGCCUACACCACCAGUGUAUGACAUGACACACAUUCCAAAUGAUGUUCCCCUCUUCCUUGGGUGUGGAGCAAAGGAUGCUCUUUCUGAUACCAAAGAUGUGCAGCUUUUGCUGGAUAACUUGCAAGAAGGGUUCUCCCUCUGGUCAAGUGCAAGAGGACGGAGAGAGGAAAAAGAAAAGGGAAGACUAAUGGCAAGAUCCAUGGCGCUGAAGAUGGGUACCUAUGACCUACCAGACAACUUUGGGGAAAAUCAAUCCUGCUGUUGGCAUUCAUAAAACAACAGCAGCAAUUCCAGGUUUUUUACCCAUCUGGAUGUUUCUUGAACGAGCAUUGGUAAGAAUGAACACAACUUGUUUGCUACUUUUUCUUGCUCAAGUUCUUCCCUUUGUUUUUCCCCUUGUUGUAAGGACCUUGUUAGCGGCAUGCCCAAGAAAAGAAUGUCAACAAUGUUCUGGGUGUUUGAUCGCAACGGUUGACUUACAGGAUCAUUUCAUGGCACCGUAUUAUUCUAAUCAUAUGUACUUCAUAGUAUUUUUCACAGUUGAUUGACUUUGACGCGUAAGUUGCCAUUUAUCAUCUUUCUUGAAACCCAUUUGAACAAUGUCAAUAACAGGGAUAGAAUGUAUGAACAGAAGAAGGUAAGUCUUAGUCCUUUAUGCCCCUAGUUGGCAUUAUAUUUUCAGGUAUAACUAUUCAAGACAAAUGAGUCUGUCGGACAUUAUGUUCCUGGUCCACAUGUUUUGUCUUGAUCACCUGUGGAAUGCCUUUUUAUAAUAAGGAAUCAUGCCAUUGAUAAAAUCUAUAUAAUUUAGAUAAAAACGAAUUUAUUAAUAGGACAAAUAGCCCCCACCACAAACCCUGUUUGGACCUAGCGUUAAAUUUGUUGACAGAUUUUAUUUCUAAGACUCUUCAUGUGGAUAUGUGUUUCUGUCCCUGUCUUGGGCUUCUGCCACUAAAAUUUUGCUAGACCAUUGAAAGUUUGGUGGAGAGAGAAAAAAUAUAUCAUACAUAGUUAUAGAUGGCCAAUAGCUUAACCUUAAUAAUAUUUAUAUCUAUACUUUUCUGUGGGUCAGCAGCUGGAAAUAGAGCAAAGUUGUUUCCAGCCAAAAGUCACGGGAGCAUAGCUGCAGUGGUUCCAGAAGACACUGAUGGCAUUUGCAAAUCAAUGGUUGAGAAGCACAACUAUGUCUGUGAAGAGCAUACGGUCACAACACAAGAUGGUUAUAUUCUCAGUUUGCAGAGAAUCCCAGUUGGGAGGUCCGGCGAGUUCCCAGGGAACAGACCACCUGUUCUGUUGCAGCAUGGACUACUAAUGGAUGGAAUAACCUGGCUGCUAUUACCACCAGAACAAUCUUUAGCAUUCCUCUUGGCCGAUAAUGGUUAUGAUGUGUGGCUAGCUAACACUCGGGGAACGAAAUAUAGCCGUGGCCAUAUAUCACUUAGUCCAUAUGAUCCUGCCUAUUGGGAUUGGUCAUGGGAUGAACUGGUAGCUUAUGAUCUUCCUGCUACAUAUAAGUAUGUUCAUGUUCAAACGGGACAAAAACUGCACUAUGUUGGACAUUCACUGGGUACUUUGAUUGCUCUGGCUUCCUUUUCAAAGAGUCAAGUAUUGAACAUGUUGAGAUCAGCUGCCUUACUUUGCCCAAUUGCUUAUGUUGGUCAGAUGACCUCCCCACUUGCAAGAAAUUCUGCUCAAAAUUUUCUUGCUGAGACUUUAUACCGGUGGGGUAUCCUCGAAUUUGAUCCAAGAGGGGAAUCCGUAAUCAAAUUUCUCAAGGACAUAUGUAAAAGAACAGGUAUUGAUUGCACCAACUUGUUGACUUCUUUCACAGGCCAGAAUUGUUGCCUGAAUUCCUCCAUUGUAGAUGUCUUUCUAGACCAUGAGCCUCAGUCAUCAUCUACAAAGAACAUGAUGCAUCUGUCUCAGAGUAUGCACUUCUAAAAAGUGAAGUAAAUUUGAAGAUUUUUUGGUUGAAAAUGUAUUUUGAAUCUAAUUUGCAAGUUUUGGACAGUGAUUAGAGAAGGAACAAUAACAAUGUUCAAUUACAAUAAUAAGGAUGAGAACAGGAAACACUAUGGGCAGCCAACUCCUCCAGUGUACAAGAUGACAAAUAUUCCCAAACACCUUCCUCUCUUCCUCAGCAAUGGAGGGGCAGAUGCACUGUCUGAUGUUAACGACGUACAACUCUUGCUCGAUAGCCUGAAGGAUCAUGAUGGAGAUAAGCUUGUAAUUCAAUACAGAGCUGACUAUGCUCAUGCAGAUUAUGUUAUGGGAGAAAAUGCUAAGCAAGACGUAUAUGAGCCUCUCAUUGCUUUCUUUAAACUUCAGUAAGAAUGUCUCUAGGGGAAAAGAAUGUGGAUUGAUUCUCUUGUUUGCUUUUGCUAGUGACAAUCUUUAUAUUUUUAUUUUGCUUGGUCAAAUUUUCUUCUGCACUUUCAGUAGUGUUACAACUGUUAAAAUGACCUUCUAAAGUUACAUAGUUGAAUACAAAAGUUCAUUUUUGAC
rnacentral:misc_RNA from 1 species